UUAGAGAAAGCUUCCCAUUGGUCAAUUUGAAGAACACAAGGAUCAAUGUUAUCUACCGUUAGAUUAACUUGAUCCAACAGAUGUAAAUUAACUGACUUUUUUUCUUUCCUCCUCACCUUCUACGAAUCUUAUCUCUCAGUAUCGCACUAUCUCUCUCUCAAAAUCUUAUCAUCCUAUCUCUCUGUACACAAUGAACAAUAAAUCAACAAAGACUGAGAGAAGAAGAAGCAAUCUCUUUUCUCAAAAAAAAGAAGAAGAAGCAAUCUCACUAUCACAAUAUCUCUCGCACAAGAAGAAGAAGAAGAAGAUGUCAUGAAGAAGCAGAGAUGGAGAGGGAGCUUCGGUGUGGCUCUACCUCAUCUCGUCGCCACCUCUCUUCACUUCGUCUCCAAUCAUCAAGUUCUUCUCAGCCUCUCUUUGCCAUGAACCUCACCGGUGGGUGGUCGUGAGCUUCAAGACAGGUACGACGUCGUGGUGCGGGGGUGUUGCUAGCCGCCUCUGGUCAAUGGAGAGUAAAGACGAAGCUUCAUGGUCGUUCCCGUCGGAGUUAUCAGCUAGGAACGGGGAGAGCUGAGAAAGAGUGAAGACAAGGACUGGAGCUAAGGGUCACCGGAGAACACGGCGGCGGCAAUUUGAUAACGAUCUCAUUGUCGGUUAUCUAGGGCUUCUUUGGUUUUUCGGUUUAAUUGUCUGGGUUCUUCUUUUAUCUGAUUGUAUCUGCUUAACCAUUAACCAUUCCCGGUUUGGGACAAAUUAAUAAUACUAAUUUGUUUUAAAAAUUUAA